UACGGAGGGGUCGAGCGUUGUUCGGAAUUACUGGGCGUAAAGGGCUCGUAGGCGGCCAACUAAGUCAGACGUGAAAUCCCUCGGCUUAACCGGGGAACUGCGUCUGAUACUGGAUGGCUUGAGGUUGGGAGAGGGAUGCGGAAUUCCAGGUGUAGCGGUGAAAUGCGUAGAUAUCUGGAGGAACACCGGUGGCGAAGGCGGCAUCCUGGACCAAUUCUGACACUGAGGAGCGAAAGCCAGGGGAGCAAACGGG
rnacentral:rRNA from 1 species